CCCAUUGUGUGCAAAAUGGUCCAUUACAUAUAUGAUCUCUAGAGUCCAUAUAAAUUAAUAUGGCAGAUGUUCACGUAGCCAAAUGUCCGGAAUUUUUAAAGGAAAAGCAAAUAUUUGUGAUUACUUCUGCAAUGUACAAAAAGCUGUUCUGUCCAUCUAUAGUAAAGUGCUUACAAUCAAAAAUUACAAGAAAACCAAUACAAC